rnacentral:lncRNA from 1 species
UUUCUACUACUUUUUGUUGUUGUUGUUCAUUUUAAGUUCUUUAUUGGAAACGUUACCUAAGCUUUAGAGAAGGCUGUCACGGAGCUUCAGUCUGGGUAACCCUUAUAGACUUGGUAUUAUUCAAGAAGAAAAGAGCAUCCAAUUCCAGUGGAGGGUUUAUGUAUAUAUGCCAUCAAGUGAUACAACACCCUUAUCAAUGAAGGCAGCCUUAAAGUUUGGGAGCGUUGUCAGCAACGAAGAAUGAAGUUCUCUUACAAAAUGGGAAUGAAUGCACGCUCUUGAGACGAAUCUGAGUUCUUUGCUAGAAUUACUGUGACCAGCUAGCUCCAUUCUGGAAAUUGACAUGAACACAAUCUCCCUGCUCAGUUCUGGAAUAUGAUUUUAUAAUUCAGACUCUUUGUACCGUAGCAAACAAAAAGAGUGAAAAGGGAAAAAACUUCAGUGUUGUAGUUCUUCAGAUAUUGAAACUCACAGGCUCCGGCUUUGAGAUAGGAGCUCCCUCUUACAAAUAACGUUCACAUGAAUAAUAGCACAGUGUAUCUCCUGUAGCUUUGCUGUACUAAAUUAACUGGAGACCUGCCAUCAAUGGUUGGGCAAGACAGACCCCCACUGUUAAAAUUAACUCUAGAAUAAAUUACCUGGCUAAAAAUAAAAACAACAUAUUUAGGUGAGUCCUAGUGACUUACUAUCAGUAAUUUUCCCUAAGAAAUUACUAAUGAUUAAAAAUUUUAAUAACACUCUUAUAAAGCACUUAAAUUUUUAACUCUUAACACUAUGAAAUUACUUAAAUAAACUGUCAUUCAUUUGGUAAAGACAAUGUUAUAUAUUCAAUGGGAAGACAAUAUAUUAUAAUAUCUUGGCUACAUUCGCUAGUUAUCAGUUUUCCAAGCUUAUUCGGUUUUCUAUUGUUUUCCCUUUGAUGCUUGGGAAUAAAACAGAGAUGAUAAUCUAAUUCCUAGAGUUAAAAGCUAAGGUAAAACUGCAAACCAGAUUAGCACAGCAAGUUUCACCCGGGUGACAGGUGCUGAAAGAUAUUUGUUAUCUAGCUGUUAGAGGUCGUAUUCUCAACUAACCAGUAUGUCACUGAGAAACAACGUAAUAGAUUUAAUGAACAUAUGGAGUUUUGGUUUUGUAUAUAUAAUAUAUAAAUGUUAUGACAUAAUAUGUGUAAAUAACAAAGAUAAGUUUAUGCAGUAAAAUGCAACUAAAGUGGGUGGGUUGUAGAAGGCUUCCGUUUUCUGCUUGCUCUCAACAUUUUCCGGUGUUUUUAGAAAGAUCUCUUCUUAGUAAGAAAACCAUGAUGAAUCAGAAUAAAUGAUCCCAACUGAAUGUCAGAAGAAGAGAGCAUGCAACUGAAUGGCUGUGCCAGGCAAGCCCUGGGUAGAUUACAACUCCCAUGGUUGCGGACCAUGUUCAUAUGUAAGAGGCCAGGCGCAGACAGGAAUCUCCACAGUCCCAUGGCUGAAGGAUGAUGUAACCUUCAGUAACUGUGGAGGACCAUUGCAGAUCUAAGCAACUCUCCCCAGAGGACGCUUUAUAGUUAGGCAGGCCUGGAAUCUGUUGGUGAUGAUUAAAGAGUUCCCAUACAGCUAAGUAAACAUCACUAAGGAGCCAUUAAUGUGUAGGAGCUGGAGAUCAUGCUUGUAUGCUGGUAUCCAGGGGGUACACUGCAUCUGGUGGUCCCGAUUCAGGGACAUCGAUUGCCGAUUCAGAGUUAGCGGGUAAAACACGCAUAGAAACUGAGGUGGAAGUCACUCAGCUCAUCAGACCGGGGCAUCAGUAACCAGGGUACAGUAUCGCUAGCUUGUGAUACAGUGACAAAAGGAAGACAGUGGAUGCCUAUCUUACCAACCAGUGAUGGCAGGCAGGUCCCCCGUGUAGCUGAGGCUAGAGAUAGAUGACUCAGGGCGUCUGGCAUUGCAGUUAACUAGGUUAAAACAACCAAAACAUGUGCUAAGUUUUUCUUGUGUGGAUCAAGUAAAUGAUCUCUACCUCCAGAAACUCUGGAUAGAGGCUUAGGAGACCCUUGGUGGGCAAGAGCUCUCGCUGUGCAGUCACGCGGCCCUGAGUUCCAAUCUCAAGCACUUACG